UACGUAGGGAGCAAGCGUUGUCCGGAAUCAUUGGGCGUAAAGCGCGCGUAGGCGGCCUCGUAAGUCCGUUGUGAAAGUCAAAGGCUCAACCUUUGAAAGCCGAUGGAUACUGUGAGGCUAGAGUCCGGAAGAGGCGAGUGGAAUUCCCGGUGUAGCGGUGAAAUGCGCAGAUAUCAGGAGGAACACCGAUGGCGAAGGCAGCUCGCUGGGACGGUACUGACGCUGAGACGCGAAAGCGUGGGGAGCAAACAGG
rnacentral:rRNA from 1 species